UUUUUUUUGCAAACAAAAUCAAGAUCAGAGGUUUUAUUAUCAUCAUCUACAUAUAUCAAAGUUACUGAUUUUUGUUGAUUUUGUUUUUCAUGUGGAACCCUAAAUCUUGGAUAAAAUCGGACUCCGAUCAUUCGUGAAACAACAGAGAUAUGCAUCCCUUGCACAACAGUCCUUCAUUUUUAAAGCUUAUUGAUGAAGAUGACCCGAUAUUUUUGGUGAAGAGCUUCUUUCAGACUCCUUCCCCUACAAGGAACUAUUGAAUGGGUUCCUAUGAGAAGUUGAAGAAAAGUUAUGGAUAAUGAAAACAAUGCUCCUUCGUUAUUAAAGUCGAUUGAGGACUAUGAUCCUAUAUUUUUCGAAUUGUUCGUCGACCAAAAACAGUUAUGGAUCCUAAAAACAACUCUCAUUCGUUGUUAAAGUUGAUUGAGGAAUAUGAUCCUAUAUUUUUGGUGUUUAUUUUGGAUGGUCCGGAGUUUUUGGCUGCAACUAUGUUGGACAGAGAUAUGCUUGCUAUUGCUGUAAAUUGGUACCAUGUCGGUUGGUUUUGCUUGGUAAGAUUUGUGACGAUGCGUCGGACAAACAACAUUGGGAAAAUAUACAGCCUUGAGCCUUGAUGACCAAUGUAUAUCUCUAUUUGAGGAAUUCUCCAAAGAUCCAGAGCUGAUUGUUUCAUAGAGUUGUGAAGUUGCGUUAAACAUACUGGAUUUUGAAUGAUCCGACAAACCAUUCGAGGUACUUGGAAGAUUAAGUCUCUUAUCUGGGUGGUUGUUACAGGUUUAGGAUGUUAAAUGAUUUUGGAUGUACUCUGCGAUGUCGAUGAUGCAGAGAUGUUGGUGAAGCUCAGGUUAACAACUUCAUGUGUAUAUUUUAAUGAAUAAAAGUUUUUGUUGUUUAUAUUUUCU